GUUGGGUAACACUAACUGGAGGACCGAACCGACUAAUGUUGAAAAAUUAGCGGAUGACUUGUGGCUGGGGGUGAAAGGCCAAUCAAACCGGGAGAUAGCUGGUUCUCCCCGAAAGCUAUUUAGGUAGCGCCUCGUGAAUUCAUCUCCGGGGGUAGAGCACUGUUUCGGCAAGGGGGUCAUCCCGACUUACCAACCCGAUGCAAACUGCGAAUACCGGAGAAUGUUAUCACGGGAGACACACGGCGGGUGCUAACGUCCGUCGUGAAGAGGGAAACAACCCAGACCGCCAGCUAAGGUCCCAAAGUCAUGGUUAAGUGGGAAACGAUGUGGGAAGGCCCAGACAGCCAGGAUGUUGGCUUAGAAGCAGCCAUCAUUUAAAGAAAGCGUAAUAGCUCACUGGUCGAGUCGGCCUGCGCGGAAGAUGUAACGGGGCUAAACCAUGCACCGAAGCUGCGGCAGCGACGCUUAUGCGUUGUUGGGUAGGGGAGCGUUCUGUAAGCCUGCGAAGGUGUGCUGUGAGGCAUGCUGGAGGUAUCAGAAGUGCGAAUGCUGACAUAAGUAACGAUAAAGCGGGUGAAAAGCCCGCUCGCCGGAAGACCAAGGGUUCCUGUCCAACGUUAAUCGGGGCAGGGUGAGUCGACCCCUAAGGCGAGGCCGAAAGGCGUAGUCGAUGGGAAACAGGUUAAUAUUCCUGUACUUGGUGUUACUGCGAAGGGGGGACGGAGAAGGCUAUGUUGGCCGGGCGACGGUUGUCCCGGUUUAAGCGUGUAGGCUGGU
rnacentral:rRNA from 1 species